GACUCAGCUUCACACUCCAGGGCUGCACACCACCAGCCACCGUCAUGUUAACCCCUUCCCAGGUCAAUGUGUCCCUCAUCUGGAGCCCAAUCUGCUGGACAGCCUGGGACCGUCCAUUUUCGGGGUGGGGGGGCAACCUGGUGGCCAUCGUGCUGCUGUGCAAGUUGCACAAGGCGCAGAAGGAGACCGCCUUCUACACACUGGUAUGCGGCUGGCCGCCACCGACCUGUUGUUCACUUUGCUGGUGAGCCAGGUGACCAUCGCCACGUACAUGAAGGGCGGGUGACCUGGGGCCAGCCCCUGUGCCAGUACAGCAUGUUCAUCCUGCUCUUCUUCAGCCAGCCCGGCCUCAGCAUCAUCUGCACCCUGAUAUCUAUACAGGUAAUUUUUGUUCGACAUUCUCAGAGGAGUUUCAUAAGCUUUAUGUUUUAUCUGGGUUAUAAACAGAGUCCUCAAAUGCAUAAAAAAGAAAUCAUGCCAGGAUUGAAUUUCAACAGGAAUAAGUUUAUUUUACCUAUUCAAAAUUAAAAUACUUCUGUUUUGUUUGAAAAUGUGUUUUUGUUAAAGAUACAUUUUUGAAAAAAAUUUAGGUAAAUAUUUAAUAAUGUCCCCUUUUCUAUCCCAAGAAGUAAUUUCAUAGUUUAUUUAAAUUUUUUAACAAAAAUGUAGCAUACAUUUUUUUAAAAAAAUAAUGCAUAUUUUAACUCAAUAAAUCCAAAAUACUGUGGCAACAUGUAAUCAAUGUAAAAAUUACUAGAGAUAGUUUGCAUUAUUUUUUCAUAUGAAAUCUUUGAAAUCCGUUGUGUAUUUUACAUUUUAGUACAUCUCAACUCAAAUGUGAAAUUUUCAUCGAGAAUAUCUGAACUGUAUUUAGAUUAAUAAAAAUUGCAGUUAAAAAGUUCAACACAGAUUUAGUAGGGGGCGUGCAGCCAGCUUGCAAAUCAGAUCUCGGCUGAGCGGCCAGGCAGCCAACCCCGGAGGAGCGGCCUGCUGGCUCCGCAGCGCCCAGGAGUUGAGGAUGUCCUACAAACCCAUCACAACUGCCCCCAGCAGCACCCCACGCUCCAGCAUCCCCGGGCCAGGCACCCCGGUCUCUACAGGAAGCGUCCCGUCCCUGUCGGGCUCAGUGCCAGGAGCCGCUGCCCCUUUCAGACCGCCGUUUAACGACUUUGGACCGCCUUCCAUCGGCUGCGUGCAGGUCCUGAAACCACCUGGCGCCCAGGGCUCCCAGAGCACCCACACGGAACUGCUGUCGGUCACAGGGGAGAUGGGCAAAGGGAUCCGGACCACCUUCGCUGGCAGCAAGAGCACCACGGAGCGCCUGAAGAGAGAGAUCAUCCAUCCCUAGUCAGAGUGCCUGGCAGAGACAGGGCGGAACCCACGCACUUAACAGGAAGCUCCUAAGCCUCUGUGUCUGGACUUUUCCCGGCCACUCCAGAGCACCUGCUUCUCCCUGGCCCUCAUCCCUAGCUGCACUAAUCAUCCUGGGCUUCUUGUCCUGUGUCCCUUGAUGGUGCCCUCCAGGAACCAAGGGGCGGCUCUCACUCCAGGUGGCAGCACUAACGAUCCUCCCUUCCCCCCACCCCACUCCGCCAAAGCAACAAGAGUUAGCAGCGAGGUCCCGGUGAGUCCCACCCAUGACCUGCCCACAGUGUUGCCCACUGGAACUUUCUGCGGCCCCCACCACUCAGCCCUUCCCAGCACUUCUCCCUCGUGCCCCGAGCCCCCUUCUCCCUCAGCACGGGCUCAGGCCUCAGGCCUGACACUUCCCUGCCUUGUGUCUUUUGCUAAAUAUGAUCUUUCUAUAUUAAUAAAAGACGAUUUGGAGUUGUGCUCUCUAAAAAAAGUUUAAUAUAAAAGAGAAAUAAAAGGAAAUUUAGCAAAGGAAUAUAUCGAUGAAUAUUUAAAUACUUAGAUGACAUUACUACCAGAUAUAAUGAGAUCAUCAGAUAUUUCAUUUACUUAUGAUUAAUGUUUGUAUUUAUUUUUUAUUUUAUUUUAUUUACGUAUUUACUUUUAGUAUACUUUAAGUUCUAGGGUACAUGUGCACAGCGUGCAGGUUUGUUACAUAUGUACACAUAUGCCCUGUUGGUUUGCUGCACCCAUUAACUCCUCAUUUACAUUAGGUAUUUCUCCUAAUGCUAUCCCUCUCCACCCCCCCACCCCAUGACAGGCCGUGGUGUGUGAUGUUCCCUGCCCUGUGUCCAAGUGUUGUCAUUGUUUAAUUCCCACCUGUGAGUGAGAACAUGCAGUGUUUGGUUUUCUGACCUUGUGAUAGUUUAAACAAACUAGCAAGAUCAGAAGUCACUUUAUAAGACAAAUAAUGAAAAAUAAAGUAUUACUGACAUUGGUAACAGAAUAAAAGUUAGAGUUAGACAAAGUAUUAACAAAUAAGCUUAUUUAUUUAUAAGAGAAGGGAAAAUAUUUAAAAGGAUUAAAUGAUGUCUUGUCAACAUGAAGAAAAACUGUAUUAUAUAUACUUCAUUCAUUAACUUAUUAUUGUGUUUCCUUGUAUAAUUUUCACUCGGUUUUGUCAGUUUUACUACUUGCUUCAUUAUUUCAAAAACUACAUCUUCAUAGACCAUUUCAGCUUUUGCUGUGUGGUCAGAAUUAUAAAACCCAGUUUCAAAAUUUCAACUGAACGUUGUCAACAUUUCUCUUUGGGCUUUUUAUUAAAAAAAAAAAA